rnacentral:misc_RNA from 1 species
AAGUCGUAACAAGGUUUCCGUAGGUGAACCUGCGGAAGGAUCAUUACCGAGUUCUUUUGAAGAAGGGACUGCUGCUGGCACUUUUAUAUAGGGGUGCAUGUGCACGUUCCUGAUUCAUCCAACUCCACACGCCCUUCUGUGCACUUUUGCGUGGGUGAGAGAGAUAACCUCAUCCACGUCCUUUUAUCACACACGCUUUCAAGUGUCGAGAAUGUCUCUAUAUAUGUCGUGCAGAAAUGCAUCUUUUGUACAACUUUCAGCAACGGAUCUCUUGGCUCUC